GACGAACGCUGGCGGCGUGCCUAAUACAUGCAAGUAGAACGCUGAAGGAGGAGCUUGCUUCUCUGGAUGAGUUGCGAACGGGUGAGUAACGCGUAGGUAACCUGCCUGGUAGCGGGGGAUAACUAUUGGAAACGAUAGCUAAUACCGCAUAAUAGUAGAUGUUGCAUGACAUUUGCUUGAAAGGUGCCAUUGCAUCACUACCAGGUGGACCUGCGUUGUAUUAGCUAGUUGGUGGGGUAACGGCUCUCCAAGGCGACGAUACAUAGCCGACCUGCGAGGGUGAUUGGCCACACUGGGACGGUGACACGCCCCAGACGCCUACGGGAGGCAGCAGUAGGGAAUCGUCGGCAAUGGACGGAAGUCUGACCGAGCAACGCCGCGUCCGGGAAGAAGGUUGUCGGAUCGGAAAGCACGGUUGUAAGAGAAGAACGCGUGUGAGAGUGGAAAGUUCACACUGUGACGGUACCUGAACAAAAAGCGACGGCUAACUACGUG
rnacentral:rRNA from 1 species